CCUACGGGAGGCAGCAGUGGGGAAUAUUGCACAAUGGGGGAAACCCUGAUGCAGCGAUGCCGCGUGGAGGAAGAAGGUUUUCGGAUUGUAAACCCCUUUUAUCAGGGACGAUAAUGACGGUACUUGUAGAAAAAGAUGCGGCUAACUACGUGCAAGUAGCCGCGGUAAUACGUAGGGAGCGAGCGUUGUCCGGAAUUACUGGGUGUAAAGGGAGCGUAGGCGGGACGGCAAGUCAGAUGUGAAAACUGAGGGCUCAACUUUCAGACUGCAUUUGAAACUGCUGGUCUUGAGUGAAGCAGAGGUGAGCGGAAUUCCUAGUGUAGCAGUGAAAUGCGUAGAUAUUAGGAAGAACAUCGAUGGCGAAGGCGGCUUCCUGGGAUUUUACUGACGCUGAGACUCGAAAGCGUGGGGAGCAAACAGGAUUAGAUACCCCGGUAGUC
rnacentral:rRNA from 1 species